UACGAAGGGGGCAAGCGUUGUUCGGAAUUACUGGGCGUAAAGGGCGCGUAGGCGGCUUAUCAAGUCAGGCGUGAAAUUCCCGGGCUCAACCUGGGGGCUGCGCUUGAUACUGAUGAGCUUGAAUGCGGGAGAGGAUAGUGGAAUUCCCAGUGUAGAGGUGAAAUUCGUAGAUAUUGGGAAGAACACCGGUGGCGAAGGCGGCUAGCUGGCCCGUAAUUGACGCUGAGGCGCGAAAGCGUGGGGAGCAAACAGG
rnacentral:rRNA from 1 species